rnacentral:misc_RNA from 1 species
UAAGUUUCUAAAGUUUGGUUUCUGGGUUUCUCAAUUCUUUUAAUGCUAAUUGUUAUAGGAAUUUUGGAUCAAAAUCUUCUGUUGUUAUUAUGCAACCAGGUAGGUCAUUAAUAAACUUGAGGCUAGUUUCUCCUAAAUUGGAACAGAUCAUACUUAAAAUUCUAUUAAAUUCCAUUUAUAGAACUUGGAUCAUUUGGUUUUGUAAUUGAAUUUACAUUUUUUUAAAUAAUUCACCCAAAUUGAUUGAAUUUUGUUGUUUGAAUAUAUCUAAGUUGCCAUAUUAUCCCUUCACCACGCAAUCCAAUUUGGUCCCUCCCCUUUGCAAUCGAGAGAGAGAUCGAGAGAGAGAGA